CCUACGGGGGGCUGCAGUGGGGAAUAUUGGACAAUGGGGGCAACCCUGAUCCAGCCAUGCCGCGUGUGUGAAGAAGGCCCUCGGGUUGUAAAGCACUUUCAGUGAGGAAGAACGCCUGGUGGUUAAUACCCAUCAGGAAAGACAUCACUCACAGAAGAAGCACCGGCUAACUCCGUGCCAGCAGCCGCGGUAAUACGGAGGGUGCGAGCGUUAAUCGGAAUUACUGGGCGUAAAGCGCGCGUAGGUGGCUUGAUAAGCCGGUUGUGAAAGCCCCGGGCUCAACCUGAGAACGGCAUCCGGAACUGUCAAGCUAGAGUGCAGGAGAGGAAGGUAGAAUUCCCGGUGUAGCGGUGAAAUGCGUAGAGAUCGGGAGGAAUACCAGUGGCGAAGGCGGCCUUCUGGACUGACACUGACACUGAGGUGCGAAAGCGUGGGUAGCAAACAGGAUUAGAUACCCCUGUAGUC
rnacentral:rRNA from 1 species